rnacentral:rRNA from 1 species
UAUUAUUUUAAUUGUAAAGUGAAAGACUUGAGUAGUAUUAGUUAAGAUCUUGAAACUCAAAGGAUUUGGCGGUGUUUCAGUCUUUUCAGAGGAAUCUGUUCUGUAAUCGAUAGUACACGUUAAAUGAUACUUGUUUUUGUAUAAUCAGUUUGUAUACCGCCGUCAUAAGAAUAUUUUUUUAGAGGAUUAAUUUUCUGGAUAUUUAUUGAAUAAUAUGUCAGGUCAAGGUGCAGUUUAUAGACAAGAAGAAAUGGAUUACAAUAAAUUUAUUUAUACGGAGUUUAUAAUGAAAUUUUUGAAGGAAGGUGGAUUUGAAGGUAAUAUUAUUAAAUUAUAAUAUUAUGAUUUAAGCGCUGAAGCGUGUACACAUCGCCCGUCACUCUCAUUAUUUAAGAUGAG